rnacentral:lncRNA from 14 species
UUACAUAUAGGUGGGUGGGGUUUGGGUGGGCGUGGCCUUGGUUGUGAAGGGGGCGUGUCCUCACUUGACCACACCCCUUUCUUUGCCCCGCCCCCCCAGUUCCGGUACAAGACCCGGGUGUACAAGCAAACCAACCUGGAUGAGAAGCAGCUUGCCAAGCUCCACACCAAGACGGGGCUCCGGAAGUUCCUGGACUAUGUGCAGCACGGCUCUGCUGAGAAGGUCGCGCGGUUGCUGGACCGGGGCCUGGACCCCAACUACCACGACUCUGACUCGGGGGGUGAGGGGCCCCCAACAUGGGGACACCCCAUGGGGACCCCCCCUUACAGCCCUAUGGACCUCCCAAACCCUUGGGGACCUCCAGAGCUCCCAUGGCCCCACAUCCCCAUGGGUGACAAUGGGGUGGUAAUGGGGUGGCAAUAGGGUGAUAAUGGAGUGAUGGAUGGCAAUGGGGUGACAAUGGGGUGACAAUGGGUUGAUGGGUAAUGGAUAAUGGGUGACACUGGGGUGAUGGGAUAAUGAUGGGGUGCUUCUGGGUUGAGUCUGGGGUGCCAAUGGGGUGAUGGUGGUGUGAUGGGUGCCAAUGGGAUGCCAUUGGGUGCCAUUGGGUAUCAUUGGUUGCCAUUGGGUGUCGUUGGGUACCAUUGGGUGCCGUUGGUUGCCAUUGAAUGCCAUUGGUUGCAAUUGGGUGCCAUUGGUUGCCAUUGGGUGCCGUUGGGUGCCAUUGGGUGCCAUUGUGUUCCAUUGGUUCCAUUGGGUUCCAUUGGGUGCCAUUGGGUUCCAUUGGGUGCCAUUGGGUACCAUUGGUUACCAUUGGGUACCAUUGGUUGCCAUUGAGUGCCAUUGAGUGCCAUUGGUUGCCAUUGAGUGCCAUUGGGUGCCAUUGAGUGCCAUUGGGUUCCAUUGGGUGCCAUUGGGUGCUGCAGAGACACCGUUGACACUGGCAGCACAGCGCGAGGGGCCGCAGGAGGUGGAGAUCAUCCGGUUGCUGUGCCUGGGGGGGGCACACCUCGACUUCCGCGCCCGCGAUGGGGCCACAGCCCUGCACCGGGCGGCACGGACCCGGCGGUACCCGGCACUGCUGGUGCGGGACAGGGCAACGGGGUCGGGUGCAAUGGGUGCAAUGGGGCAAUGGGUGCAAUGGGUGCAGUGGGGCAAUGGGGCAAUGGGUUCAAUGGGUGCAGUGGGACAAUGGGUUCAAUGGGUCCAAUGGGGCAAUGGGUUCAAUGGGUCAUUGGGUGCUCUUGGUCAUUGUGGUCAUU